GAUGAACGCUGGCGGCGUGCCUAAUACAUGCAAGUCGAGCGAACAGACGAGGAGCUUGCUCCUCUGACGUUAGCGGCGGACGGGUGAGUAACACGUGGAUAACCUACCUAUAAGACUGGGAUAACUUCGGGAAACCGGAGCUAAUACCGGAUAAUAUAUUGAACCGCGUGGUUCAAUAGUGAAAGACGGUUUUGCUGUCACUUAUAGAUGGAUCCGCGCCGCAUUAGCUAGUUGGUAAGGUAACGGCUUACCAAGGCAACGAUGCGUAGCCGACCUGAGAGGGUGAUCGGCCACACUGGAACUGAGACACGGUCCAGACUCCUACGGGAGGCAGCAGUAGGGAAUCUUCCGCAAUGGGCGAAAGCCUGACGGAGCAACGCCGCGUGAGUGAUGAAGGUCUUCGGAUCGUAAAACUCUGUUAUUAGGGAAGAACAAAUGUGUAAGUAACUAUGCACGUCUUAACGGUACCUAAUCAGAAAGCCACGGCUAACUACGUG
rnacentral:rRNA from 1 species